UCUCCGUUGGUGAACCAGCGGAGGGAUCAUUACAGAGUUUUUAACUCCCAAACCCUUUGUGAACUUACCUUAUUGUUGCCUCGGCGAGCCCCUGGGAUUCGUCCUACGCCCGCCGGUGGCCCCUAUAAACUCUGUUACUUAUAAGCAAUCUGAGCGUUUUCCAAAAAUAAAGUUAAAACUUUCAACAACGGAUCUCUUGGUUCUGGCAUCGAUGAAGAACGCAGC
rnacentral:misc_RNA from 1 species